rnacentral:rRNA from 1 species
GACGAACCGAGCGAACGUUGUUCGGAAUCACUGGGCUUAAAGGGCGCGUAGGCGGGCUGUCAAGUCUGGGGUGAAAUCCCGCGGCUCAACCGUGGAACUGCCUCAGAUACUGACGGUCUCGAGGGGGAUAGGGGCGAGCGGAACUAAUGGUGGAGCGGUGAAAUGCGUUGAUAUCAUUAGGAACUCCGGUGGCGAAGGCGGCUCGCUGGGAUCUCUUCUGACGCUGAGGCGCGAAAGCUAGGGGAGCAAACGGG